UUUGAAUUGUAGACCUGAACUCUCAACCGUGUGCGUAAAAUACCUUAACAUUACGUUAGUCAACCGUUAUCUUAAACAAAACGACGCCAUCUUGUAUCAGAGGAAAUCUUGAAAAAAUAACAAUUGUUGCAGAUCAAACCUUGGUUCCGCAGAUAACAAGCAAACUUAAUUACUACUGUGCUACGACAAUUCUUUUGUUUGUAUAUUAGAUUUAAAAUAUAUGUAGAUUGGGAUCCGUAUAUUCUAAAAUAAAAAUUAUUUUGUUUACACAUUUUGUUUAAUACAAAUUAUAAUUGCAUCAGUAAUUUCUGUAUUUUAAGUUUUUUACACUGUUAUACAUGUGAUAAAAUUUAAAAUGAUAUUUUAUAAAUUAUUCAAUCUAAUUUUAAAAUGACAUUUCUCAAAUAGUUAUCAAAUUUCAAAUAUUUAAAUUUAAAGAAUAUACAUAUAACAGUGGUUACAAAUUUUUUCUUAAAAAACAAAACUUAAUUUUUAAAAUAAACACUGUAAAUAAAUCUAAAUAAAAUCAUAUAAAACUUAAAAUACAUAGAUUUACUUUAAGUUCUAUAAAUUACAUCUAUAAUCUAUUUUAAGUUUUAUAUAAUUUUAUUUAGAUUUAUUUAAAGUGUUUAUU
rnacentral:lncRNA from 1 species